rnacentral:rRNA from 1 species
AUUGAACGCUGGCGGCAGGCCUUACACAUGCAAGUCGAACGAGAGGCGGACGGGUGAGUAAUGUCUGGGAAAAUGCCUGGUGGAGGGGGAUAACUACUGGAAACGGAAGCUAAUACCGCAUACCAUCAGAUGUGCCCAGAUGGGAUUAGCUAGUGGGUGGGGUAAUGGCUCACCUAGGCGACGAUCCCUAGCUGGUCUGAAAGGAUGACCAGCCACACUGGAACUGAGACACGGUCCAGACUCCUACGGGAGGCAGCAGUGGGGAAUAUUGAACAAUGGGCGCAAGCCUGAUGCAGCCAUGCCGCGUGUGUGAAGAAGGCCUUCGGGUUGUAAAGCACUUUCAGCGAGGAGGCGUUACUCGCAGAAGAAGCACCGGCUAACUCCGUGCCAGCAGCCGCGGUAAUAC